AUUUGAGAAAAGGAAGGGAAGUAGGAAUAGGAGAGGCAACAAAAUUGAGGACUGAAGAGAAGGGUCAGAUUCUGAGAGGGCCUUUAAGCCAACAUGGAGCCAGAAGGCUGUUGGGAAAGUAGGCAGAAAUUAAGGAACAUACUCCACCCCACCCCGGGGCACCACACCUGGUGCAGCCUGAUGUUUAGUUUCAUGUAUCCCUGGCCUCCUGUGCUCCCCUGCUGGUUGGAGACUUAAUAGCUGCUCAGACAUUUUUUGCUGUUCACUCCUUGGUGAUUGGAGGUGAAAAGAAUGCAAAAGGGUGUAAAUCAAACAGGAAGCCCCUUUUUAGUCUCCUGCUGGAUCCCAGUCAAAUGAGGAGGGCAUCAUCAAUGGUAGACUGAAUAAAGAAAAUGCAGUCCAUAUACAUCAUGGAAUAUUAUGCAGCCAUAAAAAAGAGUGUGACCAUGUCCUUUGCAGGAACAUGGAUGGAGCUGAAAGCCAUUAUCCUUAGCGAACUAACACAGAAACAGAAACCCAAAAACCAUGUUUUCAUAUGUAAGUGGGAGCUAAAUGACGGGAACACAUGGACACAUAGAGGGGAACAACAGACACUGGGGCCUACCGGAGGGU
rnacentral:lncRNA from 10 species